CAUCAGAGGCCGCAGCAGACGGGACGUGACUGGGAGGAAGGAUUUCCUGGAGAGGAGAGAGAACGAUAGACAGUAAAGAACAGACGGAACUUUCCACCGUUUAACGGUCGCGUAAAUCAGCAGCCCGAGCGAGCGGACGGCGAGGGUCAGAGAAGGCAGCGGUCAGAGCGCUGUGAGGGCCGGCAGUGAAAACGGCAGAUUCUCUGGGAAAAUUUUUCCCACUCGAGCAUGCUGGCAGAUAGAGUUACUCCAUCUGAUGAAGAACCCCUCAGAGGAAUGAAGCAGGCUGAUAAUUACAUUAGAACGUUCUCCUGGAGGCUCAGGAAAGGUCACUGGCUUCAGAUGGAGCUCUAAUGGUCAGAUGCCCUCAGCACAACCACAGAUACGCCACGGCUGGACUUCAAAGAGUCGUCCACAGUUGUCUGUGUAUA